GAAGGACGCCGUGGUCAUCAUUCGCUAUGGGCCGUACAGUGCAGUCGGCCUAUCUGUGGAGUACCGCACCUUCCGCCUAGAGGGCCUACAAGGUGGGCAGCCGAGAGUCAGAGGCCGCCCAACUGCAUGUGCCCAGGUGCACCCCGGCCUCUGAACACCCGUGCAGGCUGUGCCCUCUGCCUAUUCCUCCUCCCUUCCUCAGACCCAGACCAAGCCCCAUAACCUCCGGAAAGUCUUCGCACUGAGGACCAGGCAGUUCACACAAGUUAUUUGGAUAGGAGGGAUUACAUAACCUGCUUUACACAUUGGAAAACUGAAGAUCAGGAACGUUAAUUGACUUGGCCAAGGUCAGAAGGCAGGAAAAUGGUGGAGAGGCUAUGCCUUCAGCAUUCAAUCAUGUGACAAAACUUUCCUGAGCACCUGGUGUGUGCUGGACACUCUUCCUGGUACCGGGGUCACACUGGUGAACAAAGAUAGAUGUCCUUAAAGUGACCUUCUCAUGGUUGACUGCUAGUUGACCGUUGAGCCCCGGCCUCCAACAGAGGAAUCUGUGUUGACCAGAGAUGGACACAAGGUCAUCCUAGAGAAGAUAGAAGACUGGAAUGUGGUGGAACUCAUGGUGAACGAAG